rnacentral:rRNA from 1 species
GACGAACGCUGGCGGCGUGCUUAACACAUGCAAGUCGAACGGAAAGGCCCUGCUUUUGUGGGGUGCUCGAGUGGCGAACGGGUGAGUAACACGUGAGUAACCUGCCCUUGACUUUGGGAUAACUUCAGGAAACUGGGGCUAAUACCGGAUAGGAGCUCCUGCUGCAUGGUGGGGGUUGGAAAGUUUCGGCGGUUGGGGAUGGACUGGCGGCUUAUCAGCUUGUUGGUGGGGUAGUGGCUUACCAAGGCUUUGACGGGUAGCCGGCCUGAGAGGGUGACCGGCCACAUUGGGACUGAGAUACGGCCCAGACUCCUACGGGAGGCAGCAGUGGGGAAUAUUGCGCAAUGGGCGGAAGCCUGAUGCAGCAACGCCGCGUGCGGGAUGACGGCCUUCGGGUUGUAAACCGCUUUCGCCUGUGACGAAGCGUGAGUGACGGUAAUGGGUAAAGAAGCACCGGCUAACUACGUG